CAGUAGCCGCGGGAAAACGGAGGGGGCUAGCGUUGUUCGGAAUUACUGGGCGUAAAGCGCACGUAGGCGGCUUGGUAAGUUAGAGGUGAAAGCCUGGAGCUCAACUCCAGAAUUGCCUUUAAGACUGCCGAGCUAGCAGGUGAGAGAGGUAAGUGGAAUUCCGAGUGUAGAGGUGAAAUUCGUAGAUAUUCGGAAGAACACCAGUGGCGAAGGCGGCUUACUGGCUCAUACUGGACGCUGAGGUGCGAAAGCGUGGGGAGCAAACAGGAUUAGAUACCCGUGUAGUCCCUGUCUCUUAUAA
rnacentral:rRNA from 1 species